AAUCUGGCUAACUUUCGUGUUGUUCUGACACUUAUUUUAAGCCAUUCCUCUCUGAGGGCAGACCUAAGCUCUGUUUUGCCGUGAAUGUGCCUUUUCCGCACUUACAAAAAUGCUUGUCCAGCUUCGGUUGAUAAAGUAUUUGGAACGGUUUCAGAUGAAAAGGUUAAACAAGCUAACUCAUAUGAAUAUGUUCCAUCAUAUACUUCAUACAACAAGUUUGCUUGGACAAAAAAGCAUAAAGAUAGACGUAAGAAGAAGCAUCUUUUUAGAAAAAUUAAAUGCUUCUCAAAUGGAAGAAAAUGUAAUGAUGAAUUGGAUGCUAUAAGAAAGAAAUGGAAGAAAGCAUUGAAUUUAGAUGAAGAGGUAUAUCCAAGCACUUCACACGAUACUCAUCCAUAUAUUUCAAGUAAGAAGGCUGCUCAGAAAGGCAAGAAAGUUCUUUCAAAUUCUUAUGAGAAAUCUCUUCACAGUUCUUCAAGAAAAGUAAUGACUCGGACAGCCUCAAACACUCUUGGAUGCAAGUAUGAUAUGCCUGUCUUAACAAGAUCUGAAAGAUUCAAGAUUUAUCAGAAAUAUCUUGGUCCAAUGAUUGUCGACCCU
rnacentral:lncRNA from 1 species